ensembl:lncRNA
GCGGUGCUUCCGCCUAGCAACGCGAGUGUUGCGGGCGUCGCUAAGGAGGGGAAGCCGCCGGUUCCGGACAUGGCGGAGCAAGCGCUGGGCGUGCGGGGCCGCGGCGCCCGGAUCAGAGAGAAGCCAAACAAAUUCCUGAGCAGCACCCAGAAAACUACUACUACUCACCAUCUGAGCCUCAAAGGACUGGAAAAGAGCCAGACACUGCACAGCAACUGGGAAGGAACUUCAUUAUUUAAAAAACAAACUGAUACUAGCUUGUCCCCAUAUAUAGAGAAGAGUCCCAGCAUUGACGACUUAGAAGAAAGUUUGCGGAAACUUAAAGUUCAGGUGGACAGCUUGGCCUCGAGUCUGAGUUUUGACCCUCAUCAAGAUUAUGCCAUAGACUCUAGCGCUACAGUCAACUUGAGCACCUUUAAUUCUGCAUGGCCAAGAGUUCCUAAUGGGACCUAUGCAGAGGCAGACAUCGGAGAUUCACCAAAGCCAUCUGCAGAGUCUGAGUGGUUUCUGAACCCAAGACAUCUAGUCAAACCACUGGGAGAGUAUCCAGCGCUAACAAGCUUGGGCCUUCCGACAUUCUCCACAUCACCCAUCAACCGUGUGCCAGGGCUCCUGGGGAGUGAGAUUGCAAGUCAGAACUAUGUGCCGUCACUGGAUCUUGCACAUACAGAGUCUUUCCCAGUGAAGCUUGGUGCUCCUCAUGUGAUUGGAGUCAGGUCAUUGUUGCCCCCUAAAAUCCCAGUGCAGGAUCGCUCUCCUGAAAGGUCCCUCUCCCUUGAUCGUUCUGGAACCAACCGAUCCCGUUCAUUCUCUCCGGCUCCCAAAAGAACCCGGUGGCUAAGGUCUCGCUCACAGUCACCUAGACCCAUCUGGAGACCAAAUUCUGCUAAGGCAAAUGCCUGUGCCCAGCCUCCACCACACUUUGGCAGGUCUAGGUACAGCAGAAAGAAAACAGCUUCAACCAGACAAUCACGAUCCAGAAUAUACAAACCAGGAGCCCUGGCUGCUAGGUCCUGUACUCCAGCCAGGAUGAAUACAAGGGGACCACUGAGCUAUUCUUGGAGCCCUUACAGUCUGCCUUCCACUGCUGUAUCCUCACCAACAGCUCAGGAGAUUAAUGAACGGUAUGAGAUGAAAAACUCCCAGUUUCAUUAUGAAGCCCACAAGAAUAAUGAGUUGCUGAGGAACAGCCAGGACUUGCAGUCUGUCUAUAACUAUAGGCAGGAACUGGCAUCCAUGUCCAAGGAAUUCCAGCAGCAUUUGAAACCUGCUCACCUGCACUCUCUCUGGGAAGAGCUCUAACUAACCUGUGCUGGUAGGAGGUGCAAUCAGAGACGCCAGCCUGUGAAUUCUGGGAGGCCCUUGUGCUGUGCUUAAUGAAGAGGAAACAAGAUGGUGGAGAGGGGAAUUCUUUAGACCCACUAGCCUAUGGGCCAGUUCCACUCCAGUGCAUCUUCACUGCCUUCAGUGCUGAAGUUAGUCAGUUAUUAUUUACGAUAAUAAGCCAAAUCACUACUGCUAUUAUUCACCUCUGUGCCAAGAGCCAGCAGAAAAUCUACAUGCUGGCCUUCCGCACGGGGGGAAUUUUACCCUGUGAGGAGCUAUCCCUAAUCAACUUACUUGCAGUAUAAAAGAGCCUUUUACUGAAGUGGAGGGGAAAGGAUUGAGGCAAGGGGAAAGUUAAGGGAACAAAUCUAUGGAAUGAUUAUAAUGAGGACCUCAGAAACAGCCCUAAAGCCCUAUUUGUCAGAUCCUGCAGCUUGAGAUGAUGAAAAACUCAGAAUACGGCAUUGAUGGGGUUGGACACAUGGAUAAAUAGCAUCAUGGCAUUUGUUCAGCCUUUCCACUUAUGGUGUCCUUUCUUUUCAGCACUUGCUUCCUUCAAAGUGCAGUUUGAGUGACUCCUUGCUCUUUUUUGCAGUUUCCUUCAUUUUUUCUUUAAUCCCUUCUGUAGUUAGCUGCUGGCAAGUAGAGCAUUCUAAAAGCAGCAAGCUGCCCAGGUUCAGCUGCAAACAAAAGCCGCACACAUUCCUGCAGCUACUAACAGAUGUUCUGUGCUGCAUCAUCCCAAGGUGCAAUGCAGAGCAUUCUGGAAGCCAAAACAAUGGCAGGUUGGUUUGUUUUGAAGAUGUUAGCCUGCAGUGUCCAUUAUUUCCACAGUUUACAAGCAAACAGCCCAGGGACGAUCCAUCUCUGUUCCCUAAACAAUAUAAUGAAUUCUACUUCAACAAAUUUCUAAUUCACAUUUUAAAUUUUCCAGCAGAGGCCUCAGAAUAUAUUGAUUGUUUUAAUAAAACUCUGUUUCCAGUGAUCA